CUCAAUGCACCCUACCCCAUCCACUGGAAGAAGGAAAACAUAUGAUUGUGACUUGAAUUAUUUACUUUUCUUGUGGUGUUUUGGUUCCAAUUAUGAUGUUUAUACACUUUGUAUGCUGUUUCCUUUUUCACUUUACCUCAACCUGUGUAUUUGUAUGUAAUGACAGGCUGUGAUUGAAGCUCAGUUAAUUGGCCCUUUGGUCAAUUUGCUUCAAACUGCUGAGUUUGACAUAAAAAAAGAGGCUGCUUGGGCUAUUUCAAAUGCUACCUCUGGUGGAACUCAUGAACAAAUCAAGUAUGUUUUGUUUCUCAUCGCCUUCCGUGUUCAGUGCAGAAUGCGUGGACGUGAAUUUUAUGUUUUGUGUCUUGUGUAGGUACUUGGUUUCUCAAGGCUGUAUAAAGCCAUUGUGUGAUCUCCUUGUGUGCCCAGAUCCAAGAAUCAUUGCUGUCUGUUUAGAAGGUCUUGAGAAUAUAUUGAAGGUUGGGGAAGUAGAAAAAAGCCUUGGCAACAGUGGAGAUGUUAAUUUCUAUGCUCAAUUGGUUGAUGAAGCUGAAGGCUUAGAAAAGAUUGAGAACUUACAGAGCCAUGACAAUAAUGAAAUUUAUGAAAAAGCGGUCAAAAUACUAGAGACGUAUUGGUUGGAGGAGGAGGAUGAAACAUUGCCAGCUGGUGAUGGAGGCCAGCCUGGAUUCAACUUUGGAGGGAAUGAUAUGCAACUUCCACCUGGUGGAUUUAAAUUUGGCUGAAGGUAAAGAUUCAGAUGUGCAGAUCCAACUGUUCCCUGUUCCACAUGCAGCUUCCAUGUUCUGCAUGCGGCUUCUGACAUGCUAAACAUGAAGUUUCGUUUCUGGCUGAUUAAAUCAAAUCAAAUUUGUCAAUUUCCAUCUUCGACUAUGGGAACCUUGAUAAUUCAGGCUCAACUGAAACCUUCUAUGAGAUAUAUUUAUUUACUCAUCCUGGAGAUUUCAAUUGUUAUGCAAGUACUAUGGCUUCUUAUGCACCUUCUUAAUAACGGACAUAAAUUUGCAGGGUCAUUAGUUGGUGGAUACGACCUCAGAUUGAGGACAGCGUGUUUGUUGGCGUCAAGUCAAGGUCAGGUCGGGUCAGUUCAAGUUAGAGCACCUCACAGAGUCUGGCUGUCGUAUGGUUCAGUGUCGGUUGCCUUAAGGAGGUGCCAAGGCAGGUCUUUUGAUACUACGGUGGAGAAUAAGAAAGGGUGCGUGCUCACUGGUUGAUGGUAUGUUGGGCUUGGUUAAUUCCCCUGAUGGAGAAUGGCAUGGGGAAAAAUGAAGGGUUUGUGGACUCUUCAAAUGAGUUGUCAGAACACGGGGUUUUGUAUUUUGUCUUUUCAUGCCUUGUAAUUGAGUACAUGGUACCACAGAGUCGUCAGGUAUUGAUGGGUAGUUACCGAGUUCUGUAUGUAUUGAUCAUGAUUCGGGAUUGUUUUGUUGGUGUAUUGUAAGCAAGGGAAGAGAGAGACGAGAGUUCACAAUUCACUUGAUAUCCUAGUAUGGUAUGUUUACUAGUCAUUUGUUUGUAAGUAGGUGUUGUCAUGCAGCUUUUCAGUUUCUUGCAGACACGGUUGGUCUUCUAGAUUGUACUACAGUUUUGUUCCUCCCAGGCACUGAAAGUUCAUAGUUUUCGGAAUCGGCUUUGCCUUACAUUUUUUUUUUUGGGAUACGAUGAACUUACAUUUGCUUUAUAUUAGGGGAAUGGAGGACCCAAAGAGAUCGAAAGAGAACUUGGAGAGGAUUGAGGCUGGAUUUUUAGAAUAUAGACAAAGAGAUUUGGUCUCUUGAUUUAUACUCAAGUACAGCUUUAAACUUCUUUUGGGACCAACUAUAUUAGGAGUAGUUGCGGUACUAGAUAUCUUUGGAAUCCAUGAACAUGCAAAUCUUUUUUUCGGGGAUGUGCUGAGCUGACUUUUUACCCGGCAAAUCCCAAAAUCAAAAUGGAAUGUGCAGCAUUCCACUGAAACGAAAUCAGGAGAGACGUAUCAUUUAUGCCCACGGUUUGGUCAUGCACUCAUUUUCCACUGCUCAAAAAAACCUCAAGAGUCAGCUAUCCAGCAUUCCAGCUGCUAACCUUUUAAACGUAGGAAACUAAGGUGAAUUAGGAGGAGCAGGAAGGGCUGUAUUUGAAUGGUGUAACUUUAAGUGAACAAAUUGUAAUUGUUUAUUAAUUGUUUGUACAAUUUUUCCAUCAUAGAAGUGUAAUAUUUGGAAAUUAUUUAUGUGGAUUUCAUAUAUUCUCUCAAUCCCAUUUUGAUUGUCUUGAUUUUUUUUCCAUACAGUUUAAGAAAAAUUAAUUAACUUCGUUGAAAGAGUAAAUCUAGUCUACUUUUUUUUUAAAUACACUUACAUUAUUAUUAGGAGUAUAACUAAUUAUUAUAUCUUUACAGUAAUUACAACAGCAAUACUAAUGAAAAGUUGCAUUCAAGACAAGAAAUGAGAACAAUUAUUGAAUAAGUUAUAUUAUACUCAUUAAUAACAAAGUAUAUUAAAUAAGGGUAUUUUAGAGAAAUUAAAAGUUACUAUAUUCUUUAAUUGGAAAAUAGACUAUAAAUUAGGGCGAAUGAAAAAGAAAAAUAACACUAUCAAAAUGAGAAAGGGAGAAUAUAAUAAUUGUGUCCCUGUCAUGAGGUUGUACAAGUCAUUAAAUAAUGAGUUACAAUUUACUGAAAAAUGUUACGAACAUGUUUAGGAAUAAUUGUAAUAAAAAAUUGUUCUUGCCCGUCUUGAAUUAAAAAAGAUUAAAUUUCACCUUGUCCAUCAGUUUUGAACUUCAUUAUCUCUCUUGAAUUGGCCCAAAUCUCCACUGCAAGAAUUCCAAGCCAUAGAGUUUUGUUAUGUUUUUUAUGUUUAGUCUUUUACUAGUUAUAUUUAUCCAGAAAAGAAAAAAUUAUGAACACAAAGGGUUUGUUCUCAUUGAUUAUUUUAACUAACUAUAGAUUCUAAUUUUGGAUAACCAAUUUUUGUGACUUUUUAUUGUUUUUGUAUUCUAAUUAUGGAUUUUUUAAUGGUCAAAAAGGCUAAAACCUAUAAUCACUUAAAUAGUAAAAACUGAAUUAUUCUCUAUUAUCAAUUUCUAUGAUCAGAUUCUGUAAAAUCUUAAAGCAAUCGACAGCAAAGCCAAAUUCAAUUACGAACAUAAGAUCACAAAUUCAAUACUUUAGAAGGCAAGAGAGGCCCCAGUGCAGCCCAGAAUGCAGAACCCAGGCCCAAUGACCAUACAAGAUUAAUGUGGAAAACAAGUCCUCCAAUAAUCCAAAACCCUUCCCUUCUCUCUUUCUUCACCUGGUAGACUACAAUUCCCUCCCUCUCUCUCUCUCUCUCUCUCUCUCUCUCUCUCACUCCCCCACACUCAGUCACACGCAUACGCGCAUACACUGAACAAUUUCAAUCACCGCUUUCUAAUAUUUCUUUUGAUUUGUGCAAUUCAUUUAUUCCCUUAAUUGGAGUGAUAUAAUCAUAUCAAUUUCCGAUUUGUUUUGUUAGAUUUUGAUUAGAGUGAAGGAAAUCAGCUUAGUAGGAACGAUGUCGUUGAGACCGACCGAGAGAACGGAGGUUCGCAGGAACCGAUACAAGGUUGCGGUCGAUGCUGAAGAGGGACGGCGGAGGAGGGAGGAUCAAAUGGUGGAGAUCCGAAAGAGUAAGCGGGAGGAGAAUCUUCUUAAGAAGCGUCGUGAAGGCCUUCAGAUGUCUCAACCCUUCCCUGCGCCCGUCCCCUCCAAUAACAUCGAGAAAAAGGUCUUAAUUGUUUUCCAAGUAAUCUGAGGAAUUAUUUAGACGUAAUUUGAUUAAUUGAUCCAUUUGAAAUUGUGCGAUCUGAUGUUGGCGAGAAUGUGAAUAGGUAUUUUGUAUUUAUGUUAACUUUUCUGCUUUUGAUUUUUCACCAUCUUUUUUUCAAUCAUCAAUUCAUGGUGGUAUCAUAAAUUAUGAAGAAAAAAUUGGUUUCCAUUUGUUCUUAUCUUGGCAUGUAUAUGGAUCAACUACUUGUGCAGAAGCGUUAGUACUUGAGAUUUGGCUGUGAAGUCCCAAGCUCGUCACUAAUAAUAAUCUGGAUUGUUUUCUCGUUGUUUUUUACAUUGCGAUUCCUGUAUUUACUUACUCAUGCUCUCUGUUUGUUUAUGAACACAGUUUGUUUUACGUGCGAUUCUGUCUUUUAUAAGCCUGCUGCAGUUAAGUGGGAAUAGUCUGUUUUUGAGCUCUGAUUGUUUUUAUACGACAAUCCUUAGAGGUGACUUAUUUUGCUGCAGUUGGAGAGUCUCCCUUUGAUGGUGAAUGGAGUUUAUUCGAAUGAUAACAAUUUGCAGUUGGAGGCAACCACUCAAUUUCGUAAAUUGCUUUCAAUAGGUAUGAUUGUGUUCCUUAUUUAACGUGCAUUUUUUAAUUAUCAUAGCUCAUCUUAUUUCUGAAAAUUUAAUUCCAGAAAGAAGCCCUCCCAUUGAGGAAGUUAUACAAUCUGGAGUUGUUCCUCGCUUUGUUGAGUUCCUUAUGAGGGAGGAUUUCCACCAGCUCCAGGUUUGAAGCUGAAGCUUUUUUGCAGGAUAUCUGUUUAUUGACUUUGUAAUUUUGUAAUUUGAGCUGUGUUUUGCUUAAUUAAUUAAUUAAUUUUGUUAGUUUGAGGCUGCUUGGGCACUUACAAACAUUGCAUCUGGAACUUCGGAGAAUACCAAGGUGGUGAUUGAUCACGGGGCUGUACCCAUUUUUGUCAAGCUUUUGGGUUCUCCAAGUGAUGAUGUCCGUGAGCAGGUAAUGUGUAAUGUUGACCAGUUCUUUUGAGGCAUUAUUUGGCUGCGAGAAAUUUUGGUUAGGAAAGUGUUGUGUUUCCUAGACUCUUAAUUUUGUCAUUUUGAGAGGCAAUUUGCUUCUAGGGAAUCAUGGAAAAAUGUUUGGCAUUUUAAAUAAAGCAACGAAGGAAAUUGAUUAUUCAUUGAACACCAAAAGCAGUGAGAAAAAUUAGGGAGGUGAAUGAAUAAAGGAGGAGUCCAUUGUCCUCUCUUGUGACUCGAGAAGUUCUAAGAGUGCACGCACUGCUAUCUCAAGUUUACAUUGUGGUUCUUAAUUGUUGCUUGUUUCUAUUUAGACAAUGUCUUGUACACUUCCACAAAAUCUACUUCUUUCUAUUUGUGUUUCAACAUAUUUGGUAUUGUUUUUGGUGGCUCAGCCUUUCUUUUGUAUCAUGGAUGUUUAUUUUCCUAUUCUGUUCAUGUUAUGAUUCAUUUUCAUUGUGGGUGAAUGACUUUGUUGGUUGCACAUAACAUUAGACUUGGAGGAUUUGCUGCUGGUAAAAGAAUAAUUUUACGGUCCUUAAGUUUGUUGUUUAGUUUGUGUCAGAGUGGGAAAAGGCAAUUGAUGGUCCUUAAGUAAUUGUUUUUAGUUCUUGUAGUUAUGCUGUAUUGAUGAGGGAAUGGUUAAAAGGUAAAAACAGACAAUAGGAAUUGAGGUUGAUAAAUCGUUCAUUAGUGUCCUUUUGGUUACUACCAACAAAAUAGGAUGCAAGGAAAUAAGUUUUAGCAUUGUAGGGAGACUCACUAGAGUUGUCAUGAAUUUGUAGGCUGUAUGGGCACUGGGAAAUGUUGCAGGUGAUUCUCCAAGGUGUCGUGACCUUGUCCUUGGGCAUGGGGCUUUAAUCCCUUUGCUGGCACAAUUGAAUGAGCAUGCCAAGCUUUCAAUGCUGCGAAAUGCUACCUGGACAUUGUCAAACUUCUGCCGGGGCAAACCACAACCUCCAUUUGAGCAGGUUUGCUGCGUAAUUAUGUUGUGCUUUUGUUCUCUUCUUUUUAGACUUGUUAAGUAGUUUUGAUUUUAGUCUGAGAAUAUAAUAACAUGCUGUAAGAUUCAAUUGUCAGGUGAGGCCAGCUCUCCCCGCACUUCAGCGUCUUGUUCAUUCAAAUGAUGAAGAAGUCCUUACUGAUGCAUGCUGGGCUCUCUCCUAUCUCUCUGAUGGUACAAAUGACAAAAUUCAAGCUGUGAUUGAGGCAGGUGUCUGUCCAAGACUUGUGGAGCUACUUGUGUGAGUGUUCUUUUACACAAUUUACAUCUCACUUAUCUUUGUUGUUUCUCAUUAAUUUCUGAAAAUCAUGGUUAAAACAAAUUUUACUUGCCAGGCAUCCAUCUCCUUCUGUGCUUAUUCCUGCACUUCGCACGGUUGGGAAUAUUGUUACAGGAGAUGAUUAUCAGACUCAGGUACUAUCUUCAGCCGGGCUCUUUAUUUUGAUGUUUUAUUUAUCUUUUGAAAGAAAAUGAUAACUUUGUGCAGGCAUACUGAACCUUAGUACCUGUCAUUUGACCCUUUAAUAGUUAAGUGUGUUUUACUUGUCUGUUCUUUAUUGAAAUGUUGUUUGCAUAUUACUGCACUUGCCAUCUUGCAUCCCUUACUGGUACCGAUAUCCUGUGACAUCUGGUUGGAUGAAUAUUUAGUAUGUUCUGUAUUUUCCCCCCUUUGGCUAUUACUGCUAUCAUCCGCUGCAUGAAAUAUUGGAAUGUAUAUAGAAUGGAAAGUCUCUCAUCUCCAAUUAUUACUGUUUUGAGUUUUUAUCUUGACAGUAGGAAGAAGUUCAUUGAGAUUGAAUGUUAAGUACUUUAUUUCAGCUUCCUUCCACUCCCACCCAAAAAUAUAUAGAGAGAGUUGAAGAAAGAGAAGUAAACAAGAAUUAUAAUGUAUUUGAGAUUUUGACAUUCAGUCUUUGCUUCAGUGUAUAAUUGACCACGGGGCACUCCCUUGUUUGCUGAGCUUAUUGACUCAUAAUCAUAAAAAGAGCAUCAAGAAAGAAGCUUGCUGGACUAUUUCCAAUAUUACUGCUGGAAAUAAGGAGCAGAUUCAGGUAUAGUGUUUUCUUCUUAAAUUUUCUUAUGUAUGAUGUCCUGCUGAUUUACUCUUUGAUCCCCCACCCCGUCCCCCUCUGGAAAAUGGAAAACCUAUCAUUGUCUUUAGAAUUAUUUACUUUGUGUGGUGUUUUGGUUCUAAUUAUGAUGUUUAUACACUUUUGUAUGCUGUUUCCUUUUUCACUUUACCUCAACCUGUGUAUUUUUAUGUAAUGACAGGCUGUGAUUGAAGCUCAGUUAAUUGGCCCUUUGGUCAAUUUGCUUCAAACUGCUGAGUUUGACAUAAAAAAAGAGGCUGCUUGGGCUAUUUCAAAUGCUACCUCUGGUGGAACUCAUGAACAA
rnacentral:lncRNA from 1 species